AUGUAUAUUCAGGAGUUCAAGCACAAGCUCAAUAAGAUUGAGCUUUCAUUGCGUCAACCGACUUCUAAGCCUCCCCCACGGCCUUUUGAUACAGAAGCAUUCAAUAAUUAUCUUGUAUGGUUUCGUUCCGUUGCCCGUACUCAACUUAACGCACCCGCAUUUCAGCCAGGGGACAUAUUACAUGAACCCAAUCCAGGUUUUGAUCGUAUGGCCAAUAUGGAGUACAACACGCUUAUUAGAGAUGGAAGACGAUAUGAAUCGGCGCCAACUAUCCGCUUUGUGCAAAACGAGCUCUCGAAGCAUGUGAACGACGCCGGUGAGGCACUCAAGUACCCUCCUGGUGAAGAGUCGUACAAUAAGCUUAAAGCUUUUGUUGAGGUUGAAGGGAAGGAUAAAUCACCGAUUUGGAGUUCCGAUCCACGAAAUUUUGUGGGCAUUAGGUAG
rnacentral:rRNA from 1 species